CGGCUACACUGACAGAGCCAGCGAGUUUUUUUCCUUGGCCGGAAGGUCUGGGUAAUCUUGUGAAACUCUGUCGUGCUGGGGAUAGAGCAUUGCAAUUAUUGCUCUUCAACGAGGAAUUCCUAGUAAGCGUGAGUCAUCAGCUCGCGUUGAUUACNUCCCUGCCCUUUGUACACACCGCCCGUCGUUACUACCGAUUGAAUGGCUUAGUGAGGUCUUGGGAUCGGCUUCGGGGAGUCGGCAACGACACCCUGUCNUGAAAACUUGAUCAAACUUGGUCAUUUANAGGAAGUACAAGUCGUAACAAGGUUUCCGUAGGUGAACCUGCGGAAGGAUCAUUA
rnacentral:rRNA from 2 species